rnacentral:pre_miRNA from 1 species
UCUUUGGUUGUACAAAGUGGUAUGGCAAUUUCAUUAAAAAUGCUCAUACCGCUUUUCAGCUGAAGGA